rnacentral:tRNA from 1 species
CGGCGGGAGGCGGUCGGUGACGGCGGCCAUCGCCGGCGACGCGGUGACCAGCGUGGCGCACUUGAGCCCGGCCAGGUUCCACGCCUUGCUCGUCGAC